rnacentral:rRNA from 1 species
GACGAACGCUGGCGGCGUGCUUAACACAUGCAAGUCGAACGGAAAGGCCCUGCUUUUGUGGGGUGCUCGAGUGGCGAACGGGUGAGUAACACGUGAGUAACCUGCCCUUGACUUUGGGAUAACUUCAGGAAACUGGGGCUAAUACCGGAUAGGAGCUCCUGCUGCAUGGUGGGGGUUGGAAAGUUUCGGCGGUUGGGGAUGGACUCGCGGCUUAUCAGCUUGUUGGUGGGGUAGUGGCUUACCAAGGCUUUGACGGGUAGCCGGCCUGAGAGGGUGACCGGCCACAUUGGGACUGAGAUACGGCCCAGACUCCUACGGGAGGCAGCAGUGGGGAAUAUUGCACAAUGGGCGGAAGCCUGAUGCAGCAACGCCGCGUGCGGGAUGACGGCCUUCGGGUUGUAAACCGCUUUCGCCUGUGACGAAGCGUGAGUGACGGUAAUGGGUAAAGAAGCACCGGCUAACUACGUGCCAGCAGCCGCGGUGAUACGUAGGGUGCGAGCGUUGUCCGGAUUUAUUGGGCGUAAAGGGCUCGUAGGUGGUUGAUCGCGUCGGAAGUGUAAUCUUGGGGCUUAACCCUGAGCGUGCUUUCGAUACGGGUUGACUUGAGGAAGGUAGGGGAGAAUGGAAUUCCUGGUGGAGCGGUGGAAUGCGCAGAUAUCAGGAGGAACACCAGUGGCGAAGGCGGUUCUCUGGGCCUUUCCUGACGCUGAGGAGCGAAAGCGUGGGGAGCGAACAGGCUUAGAUACCCUGGUAGUCCACGCUGUAAACGGUGGGUACUAGGUGUGGGGUCCAUUCCACGGGUUCCGUGCCGUAGCUAACGCUUUAAGUACCCCGCCUGGGGAGUACGGCCGCAAGGCUAAAACUCAAAGGAACUGACGGGGCCCCGCACAAGCGGCGGAGCAUGCGGAUUAAUUCGAUGCAACGCGUAGAACCUUACCUGGGUUUGACAUGGAUCGGGAGCGCUCAGAGAUGGGUGUGCCUCUUUUGGGGUCGGUUCACAGGUGGUGCAUGGCUGUCGUCAGCUCGUGUCGUGAGAUGUUGGGUUAAGUCCCGCAACGAGCGCAACCCUUGUUCACUGUUGCCAGCACGUUAUGGUGGGGACUCAGUGGAGACCGCCGGGGUCAACUCGGAGGAAGGUGGGGAUGACGUCAAGUCAUCAUGCCCCUUAUGUCCAGGGCUUCACGCAUGCUACAAUGGCUGGUACAGAGAGUGGCGAGCCUGUGAGGGUGAGCGAAUCUCGGAAAGCCGGUCUCAGUUCGGAUUGGGGUCUGCAACUCGACCUCAUGAAGUCGGAGUCGCUAGUAAUCGCAGAUCAGCAACGCUGCGGUGAAUACGUUCCCGGG